rnacentral:tRNA from 6 species
GGGCCCGUAGCUCAGCCAGGUAGAGCGGCGGGCUUUUAACCCGUAGGUCCCGGGUUCAAAUCCCGGCGGGCCCGCCA